GUGUUCGCUUCGGCAGCACAUAAACUAAAGCUGGACCAAUGUAGAGAAGGUUAGCAUGGCCCCUGCACAAGGAUGAUGUGCAGAUUCUUCUUUUUUUAAUAUUAAUU
rnacentral:snRNA from 1 species